UCAACACUAUAACCCAGCCUGUUAACUACAGUAGAAGGUAUAUGUAGUCAACACUAUAACCCAGCCUGUUAACUACAGUAGAAGGUAUAUGUAGUCAACACUAUAACCCAGCCUGUUAACUACAGUAGAAGGUAUAUGUAGUCAACACUAUAACCCAGCCUGUUAACUACAGUAGAAGGUAUAUGUAGUCAACACUAUAACCCAGCCUGUUAACUACAGUAGAAGGUAUAUGUAGUCAACACUAUAACCCAGCCUGUUAACUACAGUAGAAGGUAUAUGUAGUCAACACUAUAACCCAGCCUGUUAACUACAGUAGAAGGUACAUGUAGUCAACACUAUAACCCAGCCUGUUAACUACAGUAGAAGGUACAUGUAGUUAACACUAUAACCCAGCCUGUUAACUACAGUAGAAGGUACAUGUAGUCAACACUAUAACCCAGCCUGUUAACUACAGUAGAAGGUAUAUGUAGUCAACACUAUAACCCAGCCUGUUAACUACAGUAGAA